rnacentral:tRNA from 2 species
GCCCGCCUAGCUCAAUCGGAUAGAGCGUCAGACUUUUAAGACGCUGAUCUUGAUCUGAAGGCUGCGAGUUCGACCCUCGCGGUGGGCU